CUUUACUAUAACUUGGAAUUGGGUUCGGGCUUUGCUUGCGCAGGAUAGGUGGGAGACUAUGAAGCAAUCCUUGUGGGGGUUGCUGAGUCAACGGUGAGAUACCACUCUGUCAGAGCUAGAAUUCUAACUAAAUGCCGUUAUCCGGCUUUGGAACCGUAUCAGGUGGGCAGUUUGACUGGGGCGGUCGCCUCCUAAAAGGUAACGGAGGCGCGCAAAGGUUCUCUCAGGCUGGUUGGAAAUCAGCCGUAGAGUGUAAAGGCAGAAGAGAGCUUGACUGCAAGAGCUACAACUCGAGCAGGGUGGAAACACGGCCUUAGUGAUCCGACGGCGCUGAGUGGAAGGGCCGUCGCUCAACGGAUAAAAGUUA
rnacentral:rRNA from 1 species